ACGAACUGUGUCAAAAUAGAGUACCGGUGUUCAAACUUGUGUCUCCGUUCUAAAGCACAACUUCUGAUUAUCUUGCUGCCACUGUAUUCCCACACGUCACGUCAACUAUAUAAGCCCCGGUUGCUGUCCAAGACGCCAUACCCACUAACAGACAACAUGAAGUAUCUCGCUCUUCUCCUGGUCAUUGCAGUCUUCACCCUCAACACAGGCGAGGUGAGUGGCCAGCAGUGUGCGGGCUCCUGUAAGAACGAGGCACAUGGUGGACACGACUUCUGCGCUGCUGAGUGUUCUUCCUGCGCACAUGGAGCCCACUGUGACCAUCACAAUGACGUCUGUACCUGCCCAAACGCUUAGGGAUGUUCUCCUGCACACGAUUUGGGAUUUCUUCACAUGAAGCACACACUUAAAUAAAAAUGUGGAACAUUUU